UUAUCAAAAACAUUAUCAAAAACAUUAUUAUUGUUAAUAUUACUAGAUAUUUUUUUUAUCUUCCAAAAUGAAUGGCAAGAAGAAUUUGUUGGCAAUCCUCCUUAUUCUUGCAAUUGUGCAAAUAUUUGCUGGAAAUGCCUUAGGAUGCACAGCUUGGGGUGAAAGUUGUGGAAUAGGUAGGUAUUGUUGCUCAGGUUCUAGAUGCGGAAUCCAUCGAAUAAAGGAUAAGAAAUGUGACCGAGGUUUCAGGUUUUUGUAUUUACGGAGUAUAUUUCACCAAUGAGGUCUACGUGGACGGAAAAUUGGAUGUAAUCCGUUAAAAAGUUUUGAAUGCAAAACGUUUCAUAAAAUUAAAGCAUUGAAUAUGAAACUAUAAUUUUAUUUUAUUUUUUUGAAGGAAAUGAAACUAUUUUUUAUAAGGUGGUAAAUAAAUACCGGCAAUUUUUGUGUAAGACCGUCUUACCGGAAAGACCACUUUCAUUGCUUAACUAAUUGGUUUCAUUGCUUAACUAAUUAGUUUCAUUGCUUAACUAAUUAGUUCCAGUGCUUAACUAAUUGAUUACAUUACUUAACUUAUAUUGCACCAAGACGGUCUUUUGUGUAAGACCGCCUUAUAUAAAAGUUUGAAAAUACAUACACUUAAAAGGUGUUAUAAAUAAAAAAUAAAAAUAAAACAUGGAGAUGAUCUAAUGUUGUUCAUAUUUUGAAACAAAUAUUGCAGACUUUACACAAACCUGCAGGUGGGAAGGCGAAAAGUGUGGAAUUACGGACGGGAAAUGUUGUAACAAAUUAAAGUGUUCAAACUCUUUAACAGGAGGCGUUUGUAAAAAAUAAUAAUUGUCUAAAGUUCAGCUCUACGACAUCAUAUUAGACCUGGUUAUCGGGCGGGGCGGGUCAGGGUUGGUGCAGGUCAAAAGAGGAUCGGGUAUUAAAAGUGUCAUUUUUAGCGGGACGAUAAUGGGCGGGUCAAAAGCGGGUCGCUGGUCAAUAGCGGGUCAUUAGUGGGCGGGUCAAUAAACGAGUAAUGAAAAAUGAAAAACAAAAGAGCCAUGUGCAAGUACAAGUAAAUACGAAGCUAUACACGUAAUUUUUUGUAUCAUUACUAUUUUAAUUUUCAAAAUAAUUGUAGUAUAAGUUUGACCCUAUAAUGACCCUGUCCAAUAGAGGCCCUGUCUAAUAAGAGCCCUGCCCAAUAAAAGCCCUAUUAACUUGACCCUAACCCUAUAUCCAUUGGACUACCCUGUCCAAUAACCAGGUCUACAUCAUAUCAAGAUGAAUUUCCUUCUAUUUUUAAGUUGGUGGAUAACUCACCUGCGAAAUGAUUGGAAGUAGCUCGAUCGAAAACCUACGUUGUUAUGCUGGUUAACCUGUGAUAUGUUUUAGUUCAGUAGAGCUUAUUUUUAAGUGAUUAAAAAAAAAAUGUUAUUUGUAUUAUGAUUUGAAGUUUGGGGCAGUGUGUUGGUUGACUGCUACUCACUAUGCCAUGCCUUUGUUUGGUUUUAUUUUCUUGAGUGUUUUUACAUUGAUGUGUUGUUUUUUUAUUUUUUAUUUUUAUGGUUUGGUCUAGCUACAUGAAGCUAGUCAUGAUUCUCCAAACUUGUCAAAAAUAUUUAAUUGAAUUAAUCUAUUUUUCCCGAUAUAAUUUGGUUCAUGAAAAUACUUUUUGUCAAAAUUGUUGGAUAUAUUCCAUACCUUUGUAUUUUUUCUUUUUGGGAGAUCCAAGGGGGUUACUUCUUGAGUUGAUCUCUCUCAGUUAGGGCUUAGACUCAAUCUCAAAGCCCAUCUUAUCAAUGGAGGUCAUGAAAGACCGCAAAUUUUUGGCUAUACCCGGGUACAGUCAAAGCUGGCUGUACCCCCAUCCAAAACGAUGUCGUUUUAUGUUGUUUAAAAUGAACAUUAAUAUAUUGGUACAAAAAUGAACAUUUACUAUUUCGGAAAUGAACAAUUAUUUAUUUAUUUGGAAUGAACAUUUACUAUUUUGGAAA